AUGUUGCUAGCCGCCACGGCGUGCUGCUUCCUCGCCGACGAGGUCAAGAAGAGCCAGGACGGCGGCGGCGGGGUCGGCGGAGGAGGAGGCGGCGGGGGUUUGGGGAUCAGUCCGGUGGUGCUGGUCGUGGUGCUGAUACUGGCCGCGCUCGUGUUCGUCUCCGGCCUGCUGCACCUGCUCGUCAGGUUCCUGCGGUGGCGCGCCCGCGCGCGCACCGGGGCGACGGAGGAUGGGGGCAGCGAGGUGGGGGAGGGAGGCGGAGGGCGGGGGGCCGGGGAGGAGUCGGCGCUGCAGAGGCAGCUCCAGCAGCUGUUCCACCUGCACGACUCCGGGCUGGACCAGGCCGUCAUCGACGCGCUGCCGGUGUUCCUGUACGGCGAGGUGGUGGUCGGCGCCGGGAACGGCGCCAAGGAGCCGUUCGACUGCGCGGUGUGCCUGUGCGAGUUCGCCGGCGACGACCGGCUCCGGCUGCUGCCGCUGUGCGGCCACGCAUUCCACAUCGACUGCAUCGACACCUGGCUGCUCUCCAACUCCACCUGCCCGCUCUGCCGGCGCGUGCUCGCGGCCGACGACGACGGCGACGCGGGCCUCCUGCUCGACGAGGGGUGGGGGCUGGAGGGGGAGGGCGCCGUGUUCCCGGUGCGCCUCGGCAAGUUCAAGAGCACGGCCAGGGCUGCCGGCCACGGCCCCGUCCACGACGGCGGCAUUGUGGCGGCGGAGGAGGGCGACGCGGGCAGCAGCAGCAGCAGCCUGGACGCCAGGCGGUGCUACUCCAUGGGGUCCUACCAGUACGUCCUCGCCGAGGCCAGCCUGCAGGUGUCCGUCCACCGGCGGCACGGCGACGGCGCCAACGGCGGCGCCGCGGAGAGGAUGAGGGGUCCGAGAGGGGUCGUCGCGAACCAACCCGGCCUUGGCGGGGGCGGCGGCGAGGGGAAGAGGAUCGGGGCCGGCAGCAAGGGCGACAGCUUCUCGGUGUCCAAGAUCUGGCAGUGGCCGCGCAACGGCAAGGGGAAGCUCCCCGUGCUCGCGUCCGACGGCUCGCCGGCGGUGGACGGCGCGCUGCAGUGGCCGAGGAGGAGCGUUGGGGAGUCGUGA
rnacentral:rRNA from 1 species